rnacentral:rRNA from 1 species
UACGAGGGGGGCGAGCGUUGUUCGGAAUUAUUGGGCGUAAAGGGUGCGUAGGCGGUUUGGUAAGUCUUAUGUGAAAUCUAUGGGCUCAACUCAUAGUCUGCAUGAGAAACUGCCGGGCUUGAGUAUGGGAGAGGUAAGCGGAAUUCCUGGUGUAGCGGUGAAAUGCGUAGAUAUCGGAAGGAACAUCAGUGGCGAAGGCGACUUCCUGGAUUAAUACUGACACUGAGGAGCGAAAGCGUGGGGAGCGAACAGG